rfam:Triticum urartu cultivar G1812 contig457999, whole genome shotgun sequence.
AAAGUACUCCCUCCGUCCCAAAAUUCUUGUCUUAGAUUUGUCUAGAUACAGAUGUAUCAAGUCUCAUUUUAGUAUUAGAUACAUCUGUAUCUAGACAAAUCUAAGACAAGAAAUUUGGGAUAGAGGGAGUAGUGG